ACAAUGGAGAGUUUGAUCCUGGCUCAGGAUGAACGCUAGCGGGAGGCCUAACACAUGCAAGCCGAGCGGUAGAGUCUCUUCGGGGACUUGAGAGCGGCGUACGGGUGCGGAACACGUGUGCAACCUGCCUUUAUCAGGGGGAUAGCCUUUCGAAAGGAAGAUUAAUACCCCAUAAUAUAAUGAACGGCAUCGUUUAUUAUUGAAAACUGAGGUGGAUAGAGAUGGGCACGCGCAAGAUUAGAUAGUUGGUGAGGUAACGGCUCACCAAGUCAGUGAUCUUUAGGGGGCCUGAGAGGGUGAUCCCCCACACUGGUACUGAGACACGGACCAGACUCCUACGGGAGGCAGCAGUGAGGAAUAUUGGACAAUGGGUGAGAGCCUGAUCCAGCCAUCCCGCGUGAAGGACGACUGCCCUAUGGGUUGUAAACUUCUUUUGUACAGGGAUAAACCUAGAUACGUGUAUCUAGCUGAAGGUACUGUACGAAUAAGCACCGGCUAACUCCGUGCCAGCAGCCGCGGUAAUACGGAGGGUGCAAGCGUUAUCCGGAUUUAUUGGGUUUAAAGGGUCCGUAGGCGGAUCUGUAAGUCAGUGGUGAAAUCUCACAGCUUAACUGUGAAACUGCCAUUGAUACUGCAGGUCUUGAGUAAAGUAGAAGUGGCUGGAAUAAGUAGUGUAGCGGUGAAAUGCAUAGAUAUUACUUAGAACACCAAUUGCGAAGGCAGGUCACUAUGUUUUAACUGACGCUGAUGGACGAAAGCGUGGGGAGCGAACAGGAUUAGAUACCCUGGUAGUCCACGCCGUAAACGAUGCUAACUCGUUUUUGGGUUUUCGGAUUCAGAGACUAAGCGAAAGUGAUAAGUUAGCCACCUGGGGAGUACGUUCGCAAGAAUGAAACUCAAAGGAAUUGACGGGGGCCCGCACAAGCGGUGGAUUAUGUGGUUUAAUUCGAUGAUACGCGAGGAACCUUACCAAGGCUUAAAUGGGAAUUGACAGGUUUAGAAAUAGACUUUCCUUCGGGCAAUUUUCAAGGUGCUGCAUGGUUGUCGUCAGCUCGUGCCGUGAGGUGUUAGGUUAAGUCCUGCAACGAGCGCAACCCCUGUCACUAGUUGCCAUCAUUAAGUUGGGGACUCUAGUGAGACUGCCUACGCAAGUAGAGAGGAAGGUGGGGAUGACGUCAAAUCAUCACGGCCCUUACGCCUUGGGCCACACACGUAAUACAAUGGCCGGUACAGAGGGCAGCUACUAUGCGAAUAGAUGCGAAUCUCGAAAGCCGGUCUCAGUUCGGAUUGGAGUCUGCAACUCGACUCUAUGAAGCUGGAAUCGCUAGUAAUCGCGCAUCAGCCAUGGCGCGGUGAAUACGUUCCCGGGCCUUGUACACACCGCCCGUCAAGCCAUGGAAGUCUGGGGUACCUGAAGUCGGUGACCGUAACAGGAGCUGCCUAGGGUAAAACAGGUAACUAGGGCUAAGUCGUAACAAGGUAGCCGUACCGGAAGGUGCGGCUGGAACAUCUCAUUUUAGA
rnacentral:rRNA from 1 species